rnacentral:rRNA from 1 species
GAUAAGCGCUGGCGGCGCACAUAAGACAUGCAAGUUGAACGGACUUAAUCGAAAUAUUUCUAUUUUGAAGCGGUUAGUGGCGGACUGGUGAGUAACGCGUAAGGAACCUGCCUAUUAGAGGGGAAUAACAGUGAGAAAUCAUUGCUAAUACCGCAUAUGCCAUAGAUAUCACAUGAUAACAGUGGGAAAGGAGCAAUCCGCUAAUAGAUGGCCUUGCGUCUGAUUAGAUAGUUGGUGGGGUAACGGCCUACCAAGUCGACGAUCAGUAGCCGGACUGAGAGGUUGAACGGCCACAUUGGGACUGAGAUACGGCCCAGACUCCUACGGGAGGCAGCAGUCGGGAAUAUUGCGCAAUGGAGGAAACUCUGACGCAGGGACGCCGCGUAGAGGAAGAAGGUUUUCGGAUUGUAAACUAUUGUCGUUAGGGAAGAGAAAGGACAGUACCUAAGGAGGAAGCUCCGGCUAACUACGUG